CGAACUCCUGACCUCAGGUGAUCCACCCGCCUCGGCCUCUGAAAGAUCUGGGAUUACAGGCAUGAGCCACCACACCCGUCAUUUUGAAAUUCUAUUCCCGUGUUUGUUCCUGUCUCUGCCACUAGAAAGUAAGUUCCAGGAGGGCUCAUCUCAUUCGUGGUUAUAUCCUCAGAUCCUAAAACAGAGCCUGGCACUCAGUAGGUCUCAAUAUCUUUUGAAUGAAUGAAUGACGUGCUUUGAGCCAAUGGCUAAGGGCUGUGGGUCUUGCCCUGCAAUGGGGUCUGAACAAGUCAUGGACCGUCUGGGAUCUUCCUCCGAAGACAGCGUCUGGGCUGAGGUCAGCUGCAGUGAAGAACAGUGCUCCUAGAAUAAGAGUCUAGACAGGGGAGGGGCUCAGAGAGCCCAGACUGGAUCUGCCUGAGAAGAACAGAGUUCAAGGGUCUCAGAGGACAGCCCACUUAUGCUAGCAUCUUGCAGAAAGGGCAGGACGGUGGGCCUCAGCUCUAUUUUCUAUUGUUGCAUAACACGCUGUCCCAAAACUUAGUGGCUUAAAAUGAUUUUACCAUAUCUCAUGCUUUUGUGGCAGGAAUUCAUUCAGGGACUGCUGGGCAGGGUGAUUCUUCUGCCCCAUGUGGCACUGACUGAGGUCACCUGAUGGCACUCGGCUGGCAGAUGGGCUGGUCUGGAGGACCUGGAUAGCCUCCUUCGUGAGUUGAGUGGUUUGGCAAGCCAGCUGCAAGGCUGGGCUCAGUGGGGCCUGUCUCCUGGAGCACCCAUGCCUGGCCUCUCCUGCACAACAGCUCAGGGCUCCUGAGGCUGUCAGAAGACCAAGGCAGACACUGCAAGGCUGCUUUGACCUGGCCUUGGGAGUCACAUAGCACCAUUUCCAUCACACCUUAUUGGCUACAGACCCAGUGAAAAGAAUGGUGUCCUCUCCUGACAUUGUCUCUCAGGGUCUGGAAGCUUUUCCUUCAAUCUUCGAGCUCCUCACCUAUCUGAACAUGCCAUUGCCUGCAACCAAGCUUGAGAACCAACAAACAGUGGCUGCGGGUUCUGGAAACACGCAGAGUGAUAGUUCAGAGUAAUGUUGAUAGUACAUUUUAUUUAGCCCAAUAUAUAAAAAAUAUUAUUUCAACAUGUAAUCAAUAGAAAAAUGAUGUGAUAUUUUACAUUCUUUUUAAAAAAUAUUAAGUCUUUGAAACCAGUGUGUUCUUACACUUACAGCCCAUCUGAAUUUGGCCCAACCACACUCCAGUGCUCCAAAGCCAUAGAUGGCCAGGGGCAUCCACACUGGACAGCACAGGGCUAGAGGCACUGGGUGGGCCCUUCUCUAUUUCAAGCUCAGUGGUCUGGAUGUGGGCAGAAAGAGGAGUCUGGAUCUGGGUUAAAGCUACAAGAACUCCCUCCCCAGGGUUAACACCAAUAUUUUCUGUAACACUCCCCUGCCGGUAUUGAAGAGAACAGAAAGAAGGGCAAAGGAAAGAAAAUAAACAAUUUAUUUUUCUUUUAUUGUUAUUUUUAGAGACAGAGUUUGGCUCUGUUGCCCAGGCUGGAGUGCAGUGGCACAGUCAUGGCUCAUUGCAACCUUGACCCCUGAGCUCAAGCAAUCCUUCUGCCUCAGCCUCCUGAGUAGCUGGGACUUACAGGCGUGAGCCACCAUGCCUGGCUAAUUUUUAUUUUUUAUUUUUGUAGCGAUGGAGGUUCACUGUGUUGCCCAGACUGGUCUCAAACUCCUGGGUUCAAUCAAUCCUCCCACCUCAGCCUCCUAAAGUGCUGGGAUUACAGGCUUGAGCCACCGUGACUGGCCCUUAUUUUUCUUUAUAUCCACAGCAUAUUAGUAAUAAUACACCAUUGUACACAACCUUGCCUCUCCUAAUAGAAAGCACGUUCUUUCUUUAUAGAAAUAAAAGAAAAAAACCCAAAUCCCAAGGCUCUGACUGAGGUCCAGCAAGGAUUAAGGUCAUCAGGUACCAAACAGGAUCCAAGGGUAAAUAAAGGGAGAGUGUGGGCUUACCUGGAGACUCCCUAAGCAGAAAAUGAGAGCUUGGGGCUACAGUGAGGGGGCCACUCCACUGUUCAGGUCUGUGGGCUCAUCCUUCAUUCAGCGCUGAGCACGUGAAUUUGGGCAUAGAAGAUGGUGGUUAAAGCUUGAAUAAAAAGGCCCAAGAACCAAUAGAAACUGACGGAAACUGAUAGCAUACUGACAAAACACCUUAUCCUCUGCCUCUUGCUGGUGUCAAUGUAAGAAAAGAUCUGAGAUUUUAAGAACAACAGGCAGGGGGCAACAUAGUGAGACCCCAUCUCUACAAAGAAUAAAAAAUUAGCUGGGUGGAGUGGUACGUGCCUGUAGUCCCAGGCACUUGGGAGGCUGGGGUGGGAGGACUGCUUGAGCCUGGGAGGUUGAAGCUGCAGUGAGCUGUGACUGCACCACUGCACUCGAGCCUGGGUAACACAGUGAACCCCUAUCUCAAGCAAACGAAACAAAACAACAAACAAACCAAAAAACAAAGAGGACUCUGAAAGGUGUUUCAAACAACCAAACGAAAACAAAUACAGGCUUGCUAGAGAACUAUUUGAAAAAGGAUCUAAAACUUCUCAGCCAAAGCUUUUGGGGCCAGUUCUGCUGGAAAGAGGACUGGGUUUAAACUGCAUGGCUCUUUGCAGUCAUCAGAACCUCCAUUUGCUUAAAUGGCACUUGGAAAGACAGGUAUAAAAUGACACUUGGACAGAUGCCACUUUCUGCAAGUGGAAAAGAACUGGUCUCCAUUGUAUAGAGUUUUACAGGAGCAAGAGAAUAAGGACAAUUCUAAACCCAGAUUUUCUAUUUGACCCUCAGUCUCUAGAAAGUUUGACAUCCUAGAUGAAGAACAAAAGUAAGUUGAACACGGACACAGAGAGAGGAACAACAUACACCGGGCCUGUCGGGGGGUGGGGAGGGAGGGAGAAUAUUAGGAAAAAUAGCCAAUGCAUGCUGGGCUUAAUAUCUAGGUGACUGGUGGAUAGGUGCAGCAAACCACCACGGCACACAUUUACCUACGUAACAAACCCGCACAUGUACCCCAGAAUUAAAAAUAAAAAAAAUUUAAAUUAAAAAAGUAGAGACUCUUCAAAGUGAGAAGGUAUGUCAGGCAGCUACUAUUAUUUUUCCUCCAAAUUAAUAAGUGUAAGGUACCUGUUUAAUCAGCUGGAGGUUAGAAAAAAAAUAAUAUAAAUAUUUUUCAUGGAAACAAACAAGACAAAACAACAACAACAAAAGUAAGUUGAAAGCCAUAUGUGUUAAGGUCACUCUUAGCAUUUUUACCUUACAUGACAAGCAGAGACCAGGAAAAGACAAGGACAUGAAUUUAAGGUACUCAAGUUCCAAAUACACGAAUCCAUUGCUAGUUGUUUCUUUUUCUCUCUUUUCUCAACAAGUUGGGGAACACAUGCAGAGGCAACAACAGCCACCGACUGAGUUGACUAUAUUCUCCAUGGGGCUGAGUAUGGACAAGGCGUAUUUCCCGGACGCCAUGGGCAGGGGGUCUCCAUCAAUGACGUGGAUAUUCAACACUACAGGGCCUGGCUCCCUGCUUGCGGAGGACUCAUGGGUCACCCUGAAUGGCCCAAACUCUCUGAUACCUGGCAGAGUGGUAAGGUGGCGGUGGGCCUUAGGCAAGCCAGC
rnacentral:lncRNA from 1 species